GUCCAGACUCCUACGGGAGGCAGCAGUGGGGAAUAUUGCACAAUGGGGGAAACCCUGAUGCAGCGACGCCGCGUGAGCGAUGAAGUAUUUCGGUAUGUAAAGCUCUAUCAGCAGGGAAGAAAAUGACGGUACCUGACUAAGAAGCCCCGGCUAACUACGUGCCAGCAGCCGCGGUAAUACGUAGGGGGCAAGCGUUAUCCGGAUUUACUGGGUGUAAAGGGAGCGUAGACGGCUGUGCAAGCCAGAUGUGAAAGCCCGGGGCUCAACCCCGGGACUGCAUUUGGAACUGUGUGGCUGGAGUGUCGGAGAGGCAGGCGGAAUUCCUAGUGUAGCGGUGAAAUGCGUAGAUAUUAGGAGGAACACCAGUGGCGAAGGCGGCCUGCUGGACGAUGACUGACGUUGAGGCUCGAAAGCGUGGGGAGCAAACAGGAUUAGAUACCCGUGUAC
rnacentral:rRNA from 1 species